rfam:Comamonadaceae bacterium CG2_30_57_122 cg2_3.0_scaffold_9678_c, whole genome shotgun sequence.
CAAAUUUCGCAGGCAAUGGCGAAUCACCUGGGCUCCAAGUCAUGCGUUGCACAGCGCGAUCUGUGGAGCGAAGCGUUGACAGGAGAAACCGGUAGGCCAGCCAUUGAGUCGCAAAAUCAUUCAGUCGGGCAUGCCCAUGACGUAGCUAUGACCCAUGAUCA